rnacentral:rRNA from 1 species
AUUGAACGCUGGCGGCAGGCCUAACACAUGCAAGUCGAACGGUAACAGGAAGAAGCUUGCUUCUUUGCUGACGAGUGGCGGACGGGUGAGUAAUGUCUGGGAAACGGCCUGAUGGAGGGGGAUAACUACUGGAAACGGUAGCUAAUACCGCAUAAUGUCGCAAGACCAAAGAGGGGGACCUUCGGGCCUCUUGCCAUCGGAUGUGCCCAGAUGGGAUUAGCUAGUAGGUGGGGUAACGGCUCACCUAGGCGACGAUCCCUAGCUGGUCUGAGAGGAUGACCAGCCACACUGGAACUGAGACACGGUCCAGACUCCUACGGGAGGCAGCAGUGGGGAAUAUUGCACAAUGGGCGCAAGCCUGAUGCAGCUAUGCCGCGUGUAUGAAGAAGGCCUUCGGGUUGUAAAGUACUUUCAGCGGGGAGGAAGGGAGUAAAGUUAAUACCUUUGCUCAUUGACGUUACCCGCAGAAGAAGCACCGGCUAACUCCGUG